UACGUAGGGGGCAAGCGUUGUCCGGAAUCAUUGGGCGUAAAGAGCUCGUAGGCGGUCUGUUGCGUCGGCUGUGAAAACCCGGGGCUCAACUCCGGGCCUGCAGCCGAUACGGGCAGACUAGAGUUCGGCAGGGGAGACUGGAAUUCCUGGUGUAGCGGUGAAAUGCGCAGAUAUCAGGAGGAACACCGGUGGCGAAGGCGGGUCUCUGGGCCGAUACUGACGCUGAGGAGCGAAAGCGUGGGGAGCAAACAGG
rnacentral:rRNA from 1 species